rnacentral:rRNA from 1 species
UACGUAGGGUGCGAGCGUUGUCCGGAAUUAUUGGGCGUAAAGAGCUUGUAGGCGGUUUGUCGCGUCUGCCGUGAAAAUUCGAGGCUCAACCUCGAACUUGCGGUGGGUACGGGCAGACUAGAGUGUGGUAGGGGAGACUGGAAUUCCUGGUGUAGCGGUGAAAUGCGCAGAUAUCAAGUGGAACACCAGUGGCGAAGGCGAGUCUCUGGACAUUUCCUGACGCUGAGGCACGAAAGCCAGGGGAGCAAACGGG